ACAUGAAUCCAGCCCUACGGGGCGCAGCAGGCGCGAAAACUUUACAAUGCAGGAAACUGUGAUAAGGGAACACCGAGUGCUCGCAUCAAAUGCGGGCUGUCCACAUACCUAAAUCGUAUGUGUUAGCAAGGGCCGGGCAAGACCGGUGCCAGCCGCCGCGGUAAUACCGGUGGCCCGAGUGGUAGCCGCUUUUAUUGGGUCUAAAGGGUCCGUAGCCUGUCUGAUCAGUCCAUUGGGAAAUCCGGAUGCUCAACAUCCGGGCUUCCAGUGGAUACUGUCAGACUUGGGAUCGGGGGAGGUAAGAGGUACUACAGGGGUAGGAGUGAAAUCUUGUAAUCCUUGUGGGACCACCUGUGGCGAAGGCGUCUUACCAAAACGAGUCCGACGGUGAGGGACGAAGGCUGGGGGCACGGACCGGAUUAGAUACCCGGGUAGUCCCAGCCGUAAACGAUGCUCGCUAGGUGUCAGGCAUGGCGUGACUGUGUCUGGUGCCGAAGGGAAGCCGUGAAGCGAGCCACCUGGGAAGUACGGCCGCAAGGCUGAAACUUAAAGGAAUUGGCGGGGGAG
rnacentral:rRNA from 1 species